UACGUAGGGUGCGAGCGUUGUCCGGAAUUACUGGGCGUAAAGAGCUCGUAGGUGGUUUGUCGCGUUGUUCGUGAAAACCGGGGGCUUAACCCUCGGCGUGCGGGCGAUACGGGCAGACUUGAGUACUGCAUGGGAGACUGGAAUUCCUGGUGUAGCGGUGGAAUGCGCAGAUAUCAGGAGGAACACCGGUGGCGAAGGCGGGUCUCUGGGCAGUAACUGACGCUGAGGAGCGAAAGCGUGGGGAGCGAACAGG
rnacentral:rRNA from 1 species